rnacentral:lncRNA from 1 species
CAGGAAGGAAAAGUUGAUGCGAUGCUCUCAAUGCCGAGUUGCCAAAUACUGUAGUGCUAAGUGUCAGGUAAGACUUCUCAGCUAUAUCAUGAAACCUUCAAAUUCUCUAUUUGAAAAUUUGUCUCCUAUUACCUGUUGGUCUAUUUGUGUUUUUAAACAAUCUUUGACUCAUUUUUACUUGUUAUUUUUCCUUCAGUUUUAAAAUUAAUAUAUAUACAGGUUGAAAUACUUGGGACCAGAAAUGUUUCAGAUUUAAAAUUUUUUCAGUUUGGAAUAUUUGCAUAGAUUUUACCAGUUGAGCAUCACUAACCCCCAAAUUUCAAAAUUUUCAGCUUGGGGGCAUUUCAGAUUUUGAAUUUUUGAAUUAGGGUUGCUGAACCUAUAUAUGGUUAAAAUAUAAGCAUUGUUUGUAUAUAUUUCUGCUAUGUGAAAAUAACUGUUUGUUUUCCAUCUUUAUGCCCCCUGCCUCAAUCUUAUUUUCCAGAAAUAACCACUUUUAAUUUUCUUGGAUGUCUUUGAAAUAUUUUCUUAUGAGAAUUACUAACACAUUUGAAUAUAUUUUUUCUAUGUUUUAAAAAAACAAAUAUUACUCUGGGACAAUUUUUUUUUAAUAUUUUUUAGUUGUAGAUAGAAAUAAUCCCUUUAUUUUAUUUAUUUAUUUUUAUGUGGUGCUGAGGAUUGAACCCAGGGCCUCACACAUGCUAGAUGAGCGAGUGCUCUACCACUUUGCCACAACCCUAGCCCUGGGACAAAUUCUUAUAUACCUUGAUAUUCUUUUAAUUUAAUAAUCUAUUUAGAAGAAAAUUUAUACUAUCCCAUAGCUCCAUUACAUAGAUACAUGAUAAUCAUAAUUUCCCUGUUAAUGAAGUCUUCAAUUUUUUCCAGUAUUUGGUUUGCUGAUAAUGCAUCCAGCAUCCUUUUAUUUUAUUUUUGCACACUUAUUUAAAUUAAUUGUAGGAUAAAUUCUUCCUAGUUAUAUCAGUUAGUGAAAGGAUGUAUGCAUUUUGAAUUUUUAAAUAUAAUGCCAAAUUGCCUUCCAAGAGUUUAAAUUAAUUUAUAAUGAAUACCAUUGUUAAUAUCUUUGAAAUUCCUUCAAGGAUGUAUAAUUAACAUUCAACAUGACCUUUUCUUCAAACCUUAUAAUUAAUCAUUUAAUAAGAAAUGUAAUUAUGCUCUAAUGAAUUAUAUCAUAUUAAAAAGUCUAAGUGGAACUUUUGUGGCUGUGUCACAGAACUUGCCCCCACUUUUCACCCAUCCUUCUUAUUUCUUAUUUUGUUGUGUGUAUUUGCCUGCAUUUGUACAUAGGCACCCACAUUGAGUUCCUUCCUUCUUUUAAAUCUAGGCCAUGCUUAUCUGAGGGAUUUUUGCUAUCUUAUCUUCUCCUUUGAAAGUAAUUUCUUCAGACUACAAACAAAGUGAGCCCCCCUUCGCCAGCUUGUGCAUGCUAGGCAAGUUCUCUACCACUGAGUUAUGUUCCCUGAUCCCAAAGUGAUCUUACUAGAAAAGAAAAAAAAAAAAAGGUACAAAAAUAUCAUGGGUUUGAAGUUCUAAUGCUAAUUCUGCCAUUUUCUAGUUAAAUUAUCUCAGGGAAAACACAAACUCUGUAGGCCUCAGUUUUAAAUCUGUGACUGAUAAGCAGAGCUAGUAUUCAUUAGAUAUCUCCUAUGCACCAUUUAAUUCCAUUUAAUUUUCUAAGAAUCUUAUGAGAAUUAAGUACUAUUAUAUGCUCAUUUUACCAAUAAGAAAACUAAGGAUAGAGAGGCAAGCAACUUGCCAAAUAUGCUAUAAUUUAAAGGCUCUAGAGUUUGGGAAAUGAUUCUCAGUAGCCCAAUUCCAGAUUUUUAACUCUUCUUUUAAAUAUAAAUGUUACUCUCCUUUUACUUUUCUGAUUAAGUCUAGAUUUCCAUUAUCUGUUGUAUUCUUUAUUUUUUCUUGGCUUUUCAUUUUAUUUUGAUAAGGAUGUACUCUAUCCCCAAAGAACAUAAAACAAAAAUGUUAAAAAUAGACAUUGAAGAUUUUAACACUUCUUAAUAAAAAUAAGGUAGGAAAUGUUAAAAGUACUGAAUUAUUUUCACCUCAAUUUGUAAACCAAAUAUUCUGUCAAAGGAAGAUCCUAGAUUUAUGGAAGAUCACUAGCGACAACAGUAACAAAAAAGCAAAAAAAAAGAAAUAAACUCAUGUUUUUCUACAGAGUAAAUUCCAGAAAGACUGUUUUAUGGUGGUGUUUUAGCUCUUUUAUUCAUGUGAAACUCAGCUACUUGUUUCUCAGAACUUCAGAUUAAGCAGAAUACACACAGAAUUGACAAAUUAUCAUUUUAUUUGACACAAAUAUUUUAGGUAUACUUCCUUUCUAGUCUCAAUGACCUAAAAAUUUAUUUUUAUUUUUUCCCUGUUUUUAUGAAUAUUUUUCCUGCUGCUUUCUCCAUUUGUAGUAAAACACUAGGGGUGGGAAAAGGUCAUUAUCUGAUUAGAAUGAGUGGAGGGGUUUUGGUAGGUGGCAUGUCAUUUUGAUUCAUUAUAGUAUAUAUAUUUUUACUACAUUUAUCAGCUGUUUACUAUAGUGUCAAUAAAAAUGUUAUCAUCAGAUAUACUGUGGAAAGUAAUGGAGAAGUAGUAAGGUGAAAUAUAUGGUAUUAGCUAGAGUCUGCUCAUGUGUGAGUGUAUGUGGGGUGAGUGGUUUUGAUGUGUGUAGAGGUCUGGUCAAAAGAUUGGCCAAACCAUAUGCAUUUAAACUGCUAUAUUUAUCUCAACCUUAAGAUACAGCAUUAAACACUGUAAUUAUUGUGGAUAGCUACAAAGUAGUAUAGAAUUAAACUGACACACUGAACUAUGAACAGUAAUGAAAAGGAGGCAAUAGCAAGUGGAAUGGAAAUUGAUAUUGAGCAUGUGAAUUUGUAGCAUAAAAUCUAUAAUAUGUCCACCCCAGGGGAACAUAACUUUGGUUCGCUAACUUAGCCUUUGAUGUGUGGGGUUUGGCUUCAAUGAGUUGUCUGAGAGAGGUUUUGUGGGUAUUUCAGUCUGUAAUGUGUCUUUUGUGCUCAUUGUAUGGCACCAUUGCUGUCAGCAUUCACAUUUCAUUUUUAACAUAAGUAACAUAAAGAUGUAUUUUCAUUAUAAAAAUUAACACCAUAUAUAGUCAUACAGAAUAAAAAGCAAAUCCUUUAGUUUCUUUUCCCACUCCUGUUUUCUGGUGGUAAUCUCUUUGUGUCUAUUUUGUGAGUUUAGGAUACAUACCCAACUGUUAUUCCAUGCUUCAUCUGUAGUCUCUUUAUGUAUGUGUCUGUGUAUUAAUCUGUCUAUCUACAGCUGUGUAGGUACUGCUUCUGAUACUGACAAAAUAGUUUGUUAUUAGUGGCUUCAUAUUUUUUUCCAUACCUUAUUGUGAGAUGUCUGAUUUUUACAAGAAAAAUCAGUAUUAUUUGGUAUAUUCAGAUCAUCCAGAUGAUUAUGAAAUUAUAGGGGAGUAGCAGGUUAAGCUUUUUUCUAAAAAAAGUAUACUCAAAGUAGAAAAUGGCAGCAAUAUUGAUAGCAAGUAAACUAAUUUUAGGCAAAUCCAUCAAGUAUUAUUUUACCUGUUCUGGAUUUGAUUCUUUUUUUUUUUUUUUUUAAUUUUUUUUUAUUGGUUGUUCAAAACAUUAUAAAGCUCUUCACAUAUCAUAUUUCAUACAUUAGAUUCAAGUUGGUUAUGAACUCCCAAUUUUACCCCAAAUACAGAUUGCAGAAUCACAUCGGUUACACAUCCACAUUUUUACAUAAUGCCCUAUUAGUAACUGUUGUAUUCUGCUACCUUUCCUAUCCUCUACCAUCCCCCCUCCCUCCCCUCCCAUCUUCUCUCUCUGCCCCAUCCACUGUAAUUCAUAUCUCUCCUUGUUUAUUUUCCCAUUCCCCUCACAACCUCUUAUAUGUAAUUUUGUAUAACAAUGAGGGUCUCCCUCCAUUACCAUGCAAUUUCCCUUUUCUCUCCCUUUCCAUCCCACCUCAUGUAUCNACUGUUUUCCAGAUUGGCCGCACCAGUUUGCAGUCCCACCAGCAAUGUACAAGAGUACCCUUUUCCCCACAUCCUCUCCAGCACUUGUUGUUUGUCUUCAUAAUGGCUGCCAAGUUUUCUCUCAGCAAGAGAAACAAUAAAAGAGGUAAAUAGGGAGCCUACAUCAUGGGAACAAAUUUUUACUCCUCACACUUCAGAUAGAGCCCUAAUAUCCAGAGUAUACAAAGAACUCAAAAAAUUAAACAAUAAGAAAACAAAUAACCCAGUCAACAAAUGGGCCAAAGACCUGAACAGACACUUCUCAGAGGAGGACAUACAAUCAAUCAACAAGUACAUGAAAAAAUGCUCACCAUCUCUAGCAGUCAGAGAAAUGCAAAUCAAAACCACCCUAAGAUACCAUCUCACUCCAGUAAGAUUGAUUCUUAAUAUAUACGUUUAUUUUUUUCUUUUGCUUUUUUGUGGUACUGGGAAUUGAACCCAGGGGCACUUUACCACUGAGCCUCAUCCCCAGCCUUUUUUAUUUUUUAUUUUAUUUAGAGACAAGGGUUGCUGAGGCUGGCCUAAAACUUGUGAUCCUCCUACCUCAGUCUACUGAGUUGCUAGGAUUACUGGCAUGCGCCACUGUGCCCAACUCAUAUGUACACUUCUAGUUGAAUUAAUUACUGAACCAAAUAUACAGUUUAUAUUCUUUUAAAAAGCACUAUAUUAGCAGAGAGAGGCUCUUUUUUAUGUUGAUAAUUAUGGAUCUCUUUAAACAUGUGAAUCAUAUUUUUGGUUUACAUUUUAUGCUUAGUUAUAGAAUGAUUUGAUUCAUUUUUGAUGAGUAGAAAAUUAAUCCCACAUUAGUAAGCAUUUAACAGGGUAAUGUAAUAAGUUGUUCUCUGGAAUAAUGUACUCAAAGUGGUGAUAAUGAGAAAAGCCAAGCCUUUUAUUUGUUUCAUAAAUAGCUCUCUGCCAGACUUCAGACUGAUAGUAUAUACACUGAUUUGUAUUUCUUGAUCCAUUUUGACAGUGUCUGUUUUAAAAAAAAAUUUUGUAGUUGGACAGCAUGUUUUAUUUGUUUUUUUUUACAUGGUGCUGAGGAUCAACCCAGUUCCUCACAUGUGGAAGGCAAGCGCUCUGCCACUGAACUCAGCCCCAGCACGUCUUUUAACUGGUUCAUUUACAUCAUUGACAUUCAAAGUGAUUAUUGAUAUAGUUGCAUUAAUGCCUACCAUGUUUUCUAUUUGUUGGCUUUACUCUUUCUUUCUGUUUUUUAUUUGUUUAUUUAUUUUUGUUGUUUGUUUGUUUUUCUUUUGCAGUGCUGGGAAUUGAACCCAGGGCCUUGUGCAUGCAAGGCAAGCACUCUACCAACUGAGCUAUAUCCCCAACCCCUUUGUUUCUGUUUUUGUCUUUCACUGUUUUUCUGACUGUAUGGUUUUAAUUGAACAUUUUAUUUUAUACAAUUCCAUCUUCUCUCUUUUACUAACAUCAGUUAUACUUGUUUCUUUUUACUUAUAUUGGUUAUGCCCUGGAGUUUACAACAUACAUUUAUUUACAAUGAACCCAAAUCUGAUCUCAAGUAGUACUUCUACUGCUUCACAGAUACCUUAAAAUAACAAAAUAGAACUGUGGGACAACUAAAAAAGGUAUGAGAAAUAUAUAGUGGGAAUACCAAAAGGCAAAAAAAGAAAAAAAAAAAAAAGAGAGAGAAUGGAACAGGUGAAAUAGCUGAAGCAAUAAUGAUUAAGAAUUUCUCCAAAUUAAUGUCAGGCAUCUAUGGACUGGGGACAUAGCUCAGUUGGUAGAGUGUUUGCCUAGCAUGCACAAGGCCCUACGUUCAAUCUCCACCACCAGGGUGGGGAGGCUGAUUUAAUGUCAGGCACCUUACCAUAAAUCCAGAAAAGUCAGAGAACAAUUAAAUUCCCAAUUUCACAUCCUCCUAUCUCUUAUAUCAUUGGGACUAUUUAUUUCACGUAUACAUAAGCAUAUGUCAUCAAAAUACAUAAUUGUUAUUAUUUUGAUCAGUUAAGAAAACUAAGUGUUUUAUCUUCACUUACUCUUUCUGAUGCUCCUCCUUUCUUUAUGUAAUGCCAGCUCCCAACUUUUAUCAGUUUCCUCCUCUGUACAGAAUUUUUUUUUCCACAUUUCUUUCAAGGCAAGUCUACUGGCAAUAAAUUGCCAUUUUGUUGUUUGUCUGAGAAAGUCUUUAUUUCUUUGCUUUUGAAGGAUAAUUUAAUAGAGUACAGAAUUGGAGAUUGGUGAGUUUUUUUUUUCUUUUUUUCUUUCUUUCUUGUAGCACUUAAAAUAUUUCACUCUACUUCCUUGCUUACCUGGCUUCUGAGAAGUUUGGUAUAAUUUUUAUAUUUGUUCUUCCAUAGGUAAGGUGUUUGUUUUAGUAUAUUCUGUGUUGCUAUCAAGGUAUUUCUGUGACUAACUGACUUAUAAGGAAUAGAAAUUUAUUGACUCCUAGUUCUUGAAGCUGGAAAGUUCAAUAACAGGUCAUCAUAUAGCCAUGGUUUUCUUACUGCAUUAUCACAUGGCAGAAGGACAGAGAAAGAGCAGGUCAAAUUCAUCCUUUUGUAAUGACAGUAAUGUUACCUGUGAGGGUACAGUCUUCUGGCUCAAUCACUUCUUAACUGUCUCACCUCUUUGAACUAUUACAAUGGCAAGUAAGUUUCAACAAAAAUUUUGGAGGGGACAAAUGUUCAGAAUGUAGCACUAUUUAUUUCCUUUGACCUCUUUUGAGAUUUUUAAAGUCUUUGAUUUCCUGUAGUUUGACAAUGACAAUUAUCCUGCAUGUGUUCUCUGACUUUUCUGGAUCUGUGGUAAGGUGCCUGACAUUAUAUUUAUUAAAUUUUUUUUGGUGGUUCUGCGGACUGAACCCAGGGCCUUGUCCAUGCUAGGCAAACACUCUACCAACUGAGCUAUGUCCCCAGUCCCUAGGUGCCUGACAUUAAUUUGGAGAAAUUCUUAAUCAUUAUUGCUUCAGCUAUUUCACCUGUUCCAUAUUCUCUCUCUCUCUCUCUCUCUUUCUCUCUUUCUUGCCUUUUGGUAUUCCCAUUACAUACUUCUCAUACCUUUUUUAGUUGUCCCACAGUUCUUGGAAAAUUUUAAAAAAUAUUUUUAGUUGUAGAUGGACACAAUACCUUUGUUAAUUAGUUUUUUUUUACAUGGUGCUGGGGAUUGAACCCAGUGCCUCACAUGUGCUAGGCAGGCAUUCUACCACUGAGCCACAACCAUAGCCCUUUUUUUGUUUUUAUAAGUCUCUUUUCUCUUUUCCAGUUCUGAUGGUUUUUAUUGAGAUAUUCUUAAGCUCUAAGAUUCUUCCCCUAACUAUGUGAACUUUCCCAGUAAGCCCAACUGAAACAUUCUUCAUUUCUGUUUUGGCAUUUUUUACUAAUAUUUAUUUUUGGAUUUUUCUUAGAAUUUUCAUGUCUUUCCUUAACAUUUAAUGUCUGUUCUUGUAUGCUGUUUUCUUUAACUAUUAGAACUCUUAGCAUAUUGAUCUUAGUUGUUUUAAAUUCCCAGUCUGAUAAUUCCACCACCCCUAACAUAUGUACUAUAUGUACUAUACUAGUACUUAUGUUUGCUGUGUCUAUUCAAAUUUUAUUUUUUGCCUUUUAGAAUGCCUUGCAAUUUUUUCAUGAUGACGAACCAUGAUGUACUGACUGAAAUGACAUGAAAUUUGUAAGAUAUAGAAAAUGACAAACUCCAAAAUAGUGUAGCUUGGGAAGAGGGAGUGAGGAAAAAACCCAAACAUUAAUAACAUUGAUCCUUUCCCAAAUACAUUCCUUCCAAGUAACAAAGACAAUUCCUAGGAAGGAGAUAUUCAUCAAGCCUAAAAUGGCAGUCUCUGGGAGGAAGCCAAAACUUUGAUCCUUCCCCAAAUAAGGGAAAGAGAUAAGCCUUGAAUGUUGAUCCCAGACCCUCCAUUCUUCCCCAAGUAAAAACAUUACCCAGAAAUUUCAAAUUCUCACAGCCUGUUUCCUUAGUGUCCAAAUUGACACACACUGUCAAUAAUUAAGUCACCUCUCUGUGUAGCAUAUAUAAGCACAGAUUCCUCCUUUGGCCAGCAGCUCAUUUUCCAUAAGGAAAGUGUGUCCACCAGAUGUAUGACCUACCAUUGAAUAAAGGUUUUGUUGAUCCCUGAUGUUUGCACUGGGCUCAGUCAUUUGUGCUAACACUAUUAAUAGGUAUUUAUUAAUGUGGUUGGGUGUGGGGAUAAGAAUGGGUAGGGAGUGUGUUAUGGAGUCCAGUAAUUAGGUCUUGGUUUUUUGAUGAACCUUUGCCUCUGAUUGUGAGCUUCACACAACUUGUCAGUUUAGGAUUGGCUAGUUUGAAUAGUCUCAGAGGAUCUUGGAGUAUGAGGGGUGAUUUCUAGAUCCCUGUACUUGACCCUGGGGUGAUUAAGGCAGAAGACUAUUAUUUCUAAGGAUGUUAGGGUCUGAUAGAAGAGGUGUGACUCUGAAUUGUUUAGUUUACAUAUCAAAGAAAUAUUGCUGUCUUUAAGAAUUGGCUAUCCCUGGGAGGAAUAGAUUCUUGCUAUAUAGAAAGGUUUUUAAAAAUGUAUAACAUAAUAUUAUAUAGAAAUAAAAAUUAAAGAACAGUGUUGAACCAUAGGUAUGAUCAGUUGAUUUUGAACCAAUUUGCCAUCGUAAUUCAAUAGUGAAAGGAUAGUCUUUUCAACAAAUUGUGUUGAAAAAAAAAUCUAUGCAAAUUAUAUACAUGUAAAACAAAUAAAUUUUAAAAACUUCUGAAUAGAUUAUAGACUUAAACUUAUAGGCUAAGUCUACAAAACUUUUAGAAGAAAACAUAGGAAGAAAUUUUUGGAUAUGACGUAUGUGAAGUUUCAUAGGUAUAUCAAAAAGCACUGAGCAUAUAAGACAAACUGAUAGAUUGGAUCAGAAUUAAUCCCUCUGUCCUUUGAAAGAAAUCAUUUUAAAUAUGGAAAGAUAAACUACAGACUGGGAGAAAAUGUUUGAGCUUGCAUGUGCAUGCUCUGUCAUGUCCCCUGCCCCAGGAGCUGCUGUGUCCAGAUUGAUUGAUUGAUUUGCAGUACUGGGACUGAACCCAGUGCUGCUUUAACACUGAGCUAUAUAUUCAGCCCUUUUAAAAAAUUAUUUUUAUAAUUUGAGAUAGGGUUUUACUAAGUUGCUCAGGCUGGCCUUGAACUUGUACACUGUUGCUUUAGCCUCCUAAGUUGCCGAGAUUAUAGGUGUAUGCCAUUGCACCUUGCAUGUUAUCCAUAGUUUUGAAAGAACACUUAAAAUUCAGUAGUAAGAUAAUCCAGUAAAAUAAGCAAAAGAUUUGAAUACUUCAAGAAGGUAUACAUUGAAAAAUAUUCAACACCAUUAGUCAUUAGAGUAAUAAAAAUUAUAACCAUAAUGAGAUACCACUAUAUUUUUACUAGAAAACCUGAAAAAAAAAAAAAAAGAAAAAGAUUUACCUUGCCAAGUCCUUGCAAGACUGUAGAACAGCUGGAACCCUCAUCCAAUGAAUUUAAAAUGUUACCAUUUCUUUGGACAUGUUUGGUAGUUUCUAGUAACCUUUAAGUUUAACUUCUAAGUGACCCAGCAAUUCUCCUAUGUGUUUACCUGGGAGUUAUGAAAGUAUAUUACCACAAAGAAAGAUUUGCACAUUAAGAGUUCAGUGUUCCAAACCUGGAAACAACUGAAAUAUUACCCCAUAGGUAAACGAACAAUAAACAAACACACAUGCUAUACUAUUACUGACCACACACAAAAAGGGGCAACUACUAACGUAUGCAGCAACAGAAGUGAAUCUCAGAACAUUAUAUUGAGAGAAGGAAGCUAGUUGGGAAGUACUACUACUAUUCUGGACUAGAUAAAAGUAAUCUGUAUUGAUGGAGACAAGAUUACUGGUUGCUGGGAAGGAGGAUAUAAAUAUGAAGGGACCCAAGGGAAACUUUGAAGAGUAAUGACAUAUUUUGUAUCUUAAUUUUGGUGUUGGUUAUGUGGAUGGAUGAAGUAUUUUAUUGUCAUUUAAAUUAUAUCUCAGUAAGUUAAGAAAUAUUUCUUAUUACAAAGUCAUAAAGUAUAUGUUAAUUGCAUUUCUUCUUCUUCUUUUUUUUUUUGCUUGUUUAACAGUGAUCUGAAUCUUAAAUUACUCAAAAAUCAAUCUGUUAUUAAAGAAAAUUGUUCUAGGAGGGUAAGACAUGGGAAAGGAAGAUCGAAUAGGAUGCUCCAGCAAUGGUCUGCAGUAGAGAUCGCCUUAACAUCAAAUUCAACUAGGUUUUCCAUUUUAACCUUCCAUUGCUUACUCUAAAUCACUCCAGUAUUACAGAGUUGUUUCAAGACAUUUUGGUAUAUAGGUUUUUGGUUAGUUCUGUUUUUUUAGCGGUACCCUAGAUUGAAUUCAGGGGCACUUUACCACUGAGUCACAUUCCUAGCCCUAUUUUCUGUUUUAUUUAGAGACAGGGUUUCACUGAGUUACUUAUUGCCUCGCUUUUGCUGAGGCCGGCUUUGAAUUUGUGAUCCUCAUGUCUCAACCUUCAGAGCUGCUGGGAUUACAGGCGUGAGCCACUGUGUCUGGCAAUUGUCUGUUUUUCAGCUACUUUUCAGUGGGAUUCUCUGACAUAAUAUGUUUGAUUCUAGAUCCUUGCUAGGAUCCUCCCUGUUAGGUUAGGUCCUGUCAGAAAUGGCUCUGAUGGCGGCUGCUCUUCUUGAUGGCUUCCUCUGCUUCUCUUACCACCUGCCCUCUUACCACCACUUUUGGACUUAUAGAUGAGAUUAAACCAACUUCAUCCCUUGGUGGCCAUUGUGGUUUACUUUCGGAGUUAAAAUCUUGAUAAUUACUUGAGUGGGGUAAGUGAAAUGCAUGUGCCACUUCUGACACGUUCAACUAGAACCUGGUGUUGAUAGUUUGAUUAACAGGUCUCUUUCAAAUAUGUUCUAAAGUCUAUAGAAUAAAUCACUUAUUUUGCCCUCCUGCUAAAAUAUAUCAAUUAAGUCAAGCCAUGUUUAUAUGAUUUCUUAGUAGAUCAGAGAGGCAAACUUUCUGUAAAGGCAGUAUGAGAAAUAUUUUGGGCUUGUGGGCCAUAGGAUUUCUGUCAUAACUGUUUAACUCUACUGUAGCAUGAAAAAAAUGAAUGUAAGGAAUGAGUGUGGUUAUAGUGCAAUACAAUUUUACAAAGAGUUGGCAGGAUGUAUUUGAUUUGUAGGCUGCAAUUUGCUGAACCCCAACUGGAUGAUGAUUGACUUCUUUAGAGGAACUCAUGUUAUUAUUGCCUCAUAUUCUGUGGUUCCUCAGUUAGCCAAUGGACUGUAUUUUCUGUUUUCUAAAAAGUCAUAAUCAGUUCUUGUUUUUUUUUUUUUAAUCUUCGUGUUCUAUGACCAUUCCUGUGUCUCUUUCCUUUAUAUUCAACUCCAUGUCUAAUUUGAAUAAGGCCAGUGGGAAGGCACUCUUGUUCUAUAUAUGAUACAGUGUGCAGUGAGCUUUUAAGUGAUAAGUCUAAUGUCUAUCACUGAAUCUCUAGUGUGCUCUAAGGAGAUUUUUAUGCAAGAUUUUAAUCCAUACCUGUCAAUCAGCUAUAGCUGUUAGACAACCUGCUUAGCCUUCCAGUUUUCUUUUUCCAGAUUCCAGCUUUUCAGAUCUUCAUGCAUCUGACAACCUGUAAUUCAAUAUUGGACUACUUAUGAAACAUACAAGAGAGGUAUGAUUUGUUUGCUCUCAGUAGUCUGUAAAUGAAUGGAAGAUUUUCAGGUUUCUUUUUGUCUGCAAGUUGCAUUGCAAAUUCACUAUCCUAUGUUUUGACCAUAGGAAACUCUUGUAGAUGAUUCUGAGUAGAGUGAAUCAUGAACAUGUAAUAAAAAAUUAUCAUGUCUGUAUUUCAGAAGAUGUUCCGUUUAUUGAUAAUUAUGUGAGCUGACUCAAAAUAAUUUUCUUUUCUACAUAUUUUAAAACUGGUUCUACCUUCCUAAUGACCUAAAAUCUGAGGAAAAUACUAUUCUGUACUUCCAGUGCUAUGAAGCCUAACCUGGGCAGGUCUCAAGAAUAUUAUCAUGUUAAUCAAAAUAUCAUUUGUUUAUACCAUUUGUUUAGAAUGGAUAUCACAGAAUCGUAGGAUUUUAAUCAAUGAAAAGCUGCCUUUGAGAUCUUUGAAUCCAAUCCUCUUACAGAGUAAAUACCAGAUAAACUUUGGUCAUGACUCAGAUGUAUUUUAUCCAGAUUGUGUCAAUAUAUGAUGAUCUCUCCCAACACUUUAUUCCACAUGACAAUGAGUUGCCCUGAAAUGAAUGUCUACCCCAACCAAAAUCCAGUGUUCAACAGCAUUUAAAUGGGUUAUUAAAUAGUAGUAUAUAGUUACUUAGUGUCUAAAGAGAAGAGGAAAAUACUAUAAUAAUAGUCAAAACUAUUAUUUUGUAUAAGAAAAAAGAAAUAAAUGGAUUUUUUUCCUUUCUAUUGUGACAUUAGAUCUUUCCUUUUAUAAUCAAUCAAUAGCCUAUAAGAUUGGUCUAUAAAAAGAGUUUUUAGGGAUUUUUCUUUCAUGUCUUCUUUGGGAUGGCCUUAAUUUCUAAUAAUCAAUGAUAAUAUAUAGUAAAUUUUAUGUCCUAACUGGUACUGGUUUUAUAAUAAAUCAUAGGAUAUUCAUUGAACACCUGUUCACAUGCAAGUUAUACUCAUUAAGGAAAACCAUAUACAUUUUGAGUUGAGUUUUGUACAUGGUGAGAGAUAGGGGUUUAAUUUCAUUUUUUUGAAUAUGGAUUUCCAGUUUUCUCAGCACCAUUUGUUGAAGAGGCUAUCUUUUCUUCAACGCAUGUCUUUGGUGCCUUUGUCUAAUAUAAUUGUAAUUUUGUGGGUUAGUCUCCUCUACUCUGUACCAUUGGUCUACCAGUCUGUUUUGGUGUCAAUACCAUACUGUUUUUGUUACUGUUGCUCUGUAUAGUUCAAAGUCUAGUAUAGUGGUGCCACCUGCUUCACUGUUCCUGCUAAGGAUUACUUUAGCUAUUCUGGGUCUCUUAUUUUUCCAGAUGAAUUUCAUGACUGCCUUUUCUAUUUCUAUGAGGAAUGUCAUAGGGAUUUUGAUCAGAAUUGCAUUAAAUCUGAUUAGGGCUUUUGGAAAUAUGGUCCUUUUGAUAAUAUUAAUUCUGUCUAUCCAAGAGCGAGGUAGAUUCUUCCAUCUUCUAAGGUAUUAUUUGAUUUCUUUCUUUAGGCUUCUAUAGUUUUCAUUGUAUAGAUCUUUCACCUCUUUUGUUAAGUUGAUUCCCAGGUAUCUUAUUUUGUUUUAUUUUUUUAAGGAUAUUGUGAAUGGGGUAGUUUUCCUCAUUUGCUUCUCAGAGGAUUUGUCACUGAUAUACAGAAAUGCCUUUGAUUUAUGGUUGUUGAUUUUAUAUCCUGCUACUUUGCUGAAUUCACUUACUAAUUCUAGAAGUUUUCUGGUGGAGUUUUUUGGGUCUUUUAGGUAUAGAAUCAUGUCAUCAGCAAAUAGAGCUAAUUUAAGUUCUUCUAUAUAUAUAUAUAUAUAAUUUCUUUAAUUUCUUUCAUCUAAUUGCUCUGACCAGUGCUUCAAGAACUAUGUUGAAUAGAAGUGGUGAAAGAGGGCAUCCCUGUCUUGUUCCAGAUUUUAGAGGGAAUGCCUUCAGUUUUUCUUCAUUUAGAAUGAUAUUUGCCUGAGGCUUAGCAUAGAUAGCCUUUAUGAUGUUGGGAUAUGUUCCUGUUAUCCCUAGUUUUUCUAGUGUUUUGAGCAUAAAGGGGUGCUAUAUUUUGUCAAAUGCUUUUUCUGUGUCUAUCAAGAUGAUCAUAUGAUUCUUAUCUUUAAGUCUAUUGAUGUGAUGAAUUACAUUUAUUGAUUUCCGUAUGUUGAACCAAACUUGCAUCCCUGGGAUGGAUCCCACUUGAUUAUGGUGCACAAUCUUUUUGACAUAUUUUUGUAUUCGAUUUGCCAGAAUUUUAUUGAGAAUUUUUGCAUCUAUGUUCAUUAGAGAUAUUGGUCUGAAGUUUUCUUUCUUUGAAGUGUCUUUAUCUUGUUUUGGAAUCAAGGUGAUAUUGGCCUCAUAGAAUGGGUUUGGAGGUGCUCACUCUUUUUCUAUUUCCUGAAAUAAAUUGAAGAGUAUUGGUAUUAGUUCUUCUUUAAAGGUCUUGUAGAAAUCGGCUGUGUAUCCAUCCGGUCCUGGGCUUUUCUUGGUUGGUAGUCUUUUGAUAAUUUCUAAUUAUCCUCUGUAUUUCUGUAGUGUCUGUUGUGAUAUUACCUUUUUCAUCAUGUAUGCUGGUAAUUUGAGUUCUCCCUCUUCUUCUCUUCGUUAGCAUGGCUAACAGUCUGUCAAUUUUAUUUAUUUUUUUUUUCAAAGAACCAACUUUUAGUUUUGUCAAUUUUUUUAUUUGUUUCUUGUUUCAAUUUCAUUGAUUUCCACUCUAAUUUUAAUUUUUACUGCCUUCUACUGCUUUUGCUGCGGAUUUGUUCUUCUUUUUCUAGGGCUUUGAGAUGUAGGUGAGGUCAUUUAUUUGUUGACUUUUUCUUCUUUUAAGGAAUGAAUUCCAUGCAAUGAAUUUUCCGCUUAGUACUGCUUUCAUAGUGUCCCAGAGAUUUCGAUAUGUCUGUGUUCUCAUAUACCUCUAAGAAUUUUUUAAUCUCCACCUUGAUGUCUUCUGUAACCCAUUGUUCAUUCAAUAGCAUAUUGUUCAGUCUCCAGGUGAUAAAGAAAUUUUUGUUUUUUAUUUUGUCGUUAAUUUCCAAUUUCAUUCCAUUACGAUCUGAUAAAAUGCAUGGUAGUAUCUCUACUUUAUUGUAUUUGCUAAUAGUUGCUUUGUGGCAUAGUAUAUGGUCUAUUUUCCAGAAGGAUCCAUGUGCUGCUGAGAAGAAAGUCUAUCUACUUGAUGCUGGUUGAAAUAUUCUAUAUGUUUGUUAAGUCCAAGUUAUUAAUUGUGUUUUUGAGCUCUAUAGUUUCUUUAUUCAACUUUUGUUUGGGAGAACUAUCCAGUGGUGAGAGAGGUGUGUUAAAGUCACCCACGAUUAUUGUGUUGUGGUCAAUUUGACUCUUGAACUUGAGAAGGGUUUGUUUGAUGAACAUAGCUGCACCUUUGGGGCAUAUAUAUUUAUGAUUGUUAUGUCUUGUUGGUGUAUGGUUCCCUUGAGCAGUAUGUAAUGUCCAUCUUUAACCCUUUUGAUUAGCUUUGGCUUGAAGUCUAUUUUAUUUGAUAUGAGUAUAGAAACCCCUGCUUGCUUCCAUGGUCCAUUUGAGUGGUAUGAUUUUUCUAACCUUUCACCUUCAGUCUGUGUAUGUCUUUUCCUAUCAGAUGAGUGUAGGCAUCAUAUUGUUAGAUCUUUUUUUUUUUAAUCCAAUCUGCUAGCCUAUGUCUUUUGAUUGGUGAGUUUAAGCCAUUAACAUUUAGGGUUACUAUUGAGACAUGGUUUGUAUUUACAACCAUAUUUGUUUAUUUUUGUUAUUUAACUUGACUUGGUUUUCCUCUUUGAUUAGUUUUUCCUUUAGUGUACUACCUCCCCCUGUUGGUUUUCAUUGUUGUUUUUCAUUUCCUCUUCAUGAAAUAUUUUGCCAAGGAUGUUUUGCAGUGCCAGUUUUCUAGCUUCAAAUUCUUUUAAUUUUUGUUUAUUGUGGAAGGUUUUUAUUUCAUCUUCAAAUCUGAAGCUUAAUUUUGCUUGAUACAAGAUUCUUGGUUUGCACCCAUUAUCUUUCAGAGUUUGAAAUAUGUUGUUUCAGAUCUUCUGACUUUCAGGGUCUGUGUUGAAAAAUCUGCUAUUAUCCUAAUUGGUUUACCCUAUAUGUGAUCUGAUUCCUUUCUCUUGUGGCUUUUAAAAUCCUCUCCUUAUUCUGUAUGUUGCGCAUUUUCAUUAUAAUGUGUCUUGGUGUGGAUCUGUUGUGAUUUUGCACAUUUGGCGUCCUGUAGGCUUCUUGGAUUUGGAUUCCCAUUGCAUUCUUCAUAUCUGGAAAGUUUUCUGAUAUUAUUUCAUUGAAUAGAUUGCUCAUUCCUUUGGUUUGGUCCUCUAUGCCUUCCUCUACCCAAUAACUCUUAAAUUUGGUCUUUUUAUGCUAUCCCAUAUUUCCCGAAUGUUCUGCUUGUAGUUUCGCUGUGCUGUCUAUGUUCUUUUCAAGAUGAUAUAUUUUAUCUUUGUUGUCUGAUGUCCUAUUUUCUAAGUCGUCUACUCUGUUGGUGAUGCUGUCAUUUGAGUUUCUAAUUUGGUUUAUUAUUUCGUUCAUUUCAAGGAUUUUUGUUUGGUUAUUUUGUAUAACCGCUAUCUCCCUGUUGAGGUGAUCUUUUGCUUCUUGGAUUUGUUUAUGUAGCUUAUUGUCGAAGUGAUCUUUCACUGCCUGUAUUUGUUCUCUUAUGUCUUCUUUGAGAUCCCAAAACAUUUUAAUCAUGUAUAUCCUGAAAUCUUUCUCUGUCAUUUUUUUCUGCUGUAGCUGUCAAUAUUUCUAAUGAUGUGUUGUCUUGAUUUGUUUGUGGUACUUUAUUCCCUUGUCUUUUCAUGUUGCUCGCAUUUCUUUCUUUCCAGCUCUGUGGGACUGGUGUGUUAUUGUUUUUACCCUACAGAUUUGUAGUGCUCUUGUAUGGUUCCAAGAUACCUUCUUUGUGGGGAAGGACAAUGUUAUCAGAGCCCAAUAUCAACAGUACAUUACCUAUGAACAAAUUAUUGUUAUUAAGACAUUUAUAGUUAAUCUCAAUGUCCAGAAAUGUUGGAUUCAAUUAUUAUUUAAAAUAUAAUUAGUAGUUUCAUAAAAAGUGUACAGUUUUGGUGGUGGACAGUGAACUGGAGGUUGGGCAUAGGAUGAUAUGCUAAGAGAGAAAGAUGUAAGGGUAUGGGGUUAACAUAACUUAGGAAAUUUGAAGGAGAAUUUUAAUGAAGAGGGUUCAUAGCAGGGGAAUAGGGUAGACAAGUACGUUGGAAGACAGUAGAGUACAUAAAAACACACAUAUGUAUUUAGAAAUUUACAGGAUGUUAAAAUAGUAAAAUUUGGAGGGUGAAAGAAGAAGAAAGGAGAAGGAAAAAAAAAGGAAAGAAAGAAAGAGAAAAAAGAGAAAGAAGAAAGAAAAGAAAAAGGGAUGGCUUAUGCAAUUCCUCUAUAUGAUAUUAUUCAGGUGACUCAGUUCUCAAAUAUCUAUAUCAUGUAAAGUUCUCGGUUUCACAUAUGUUGGGGUUGUGAGGGCCAGAGGAUAGAAGGGUAGAGGAGAAAGGAGAAGGAUAAGAAGGAAAAAAAAAUACUCUUAGACUUCAAUUUCCUUCUUGCUUCUCAUCUCUUCCAGUAGGUGGAGUUGUCUGUUUUAAGCUGGAGUCUGUCUUCAGGGUGGUGUAUGUAACCAGCGUGAGAAGACUUGAGCCCCAGUAUUGUCUCCCUCUCUUGUCUGGAGCUUCCCCUAUCCUGGUCUCUCUGUUUUGCUCCAGGUUUUAGACCCCUUUCCUCUUUUGCUUAUCAGGUCCCAAUUGCUGGAUCUCUCACCCUCAGGCUUGCACUGCACUCCCAUUCAACUGAGAGUGGUUUUUGUGCUGGGUAGUCACUGCGCCAAGGUAUCACAGCUGGUGCGGGGCAGAUUAUUAUGAAGUUGGAAACCAGGUACCUGUUCAAAUGGAGAUCCACACUGAUAGCCACGUCCACCAAAAAAAUUGGGAGAAAGGUUUUCCAAGAUGGAAUUGGUGUGCUUCCAGCACUGGGGGUCUGGUGAGGUGGGGGGAGCUGGGCUGGCGUUGUGCUGGGGCUAGAUUGCGCUCAAGAACUGCCGGCUUUGGUUCUGGAGUGCAGAGUCUUACUGGAACACAGAAACUCUGAUUUCUUUGCAGGUGGUCGCAGCUCUGAUGGUUUCUGUGAAAAUCCGCUGUAGAGGGGUCCUGUUACACACUCUGAGAUGUUGUAUUCUGCCUAGGUGAUACCUUGUGGAGACACCGCCUGACUGCUUUCUUGGUUUCAUUCCUCAGAGCAGCCAGAAAUGGUAUCUCCUAUAUUCUACCAUCUUGGAUCCCCUAAAGUGGAAGUUUUAAAAAAGGAGUUAUCAGUUUCUACUAUAUUUGGGACUGGGGUUGAUUAAAAUCUGUUCUUAAUUAUUAUUAUUUUUUGUCUCAAAUUACCUGUGGUUUAUUUUGUUGAGGGUGAUUAUUGUUCAGCUGGAUGUGUACUCAGGCAUUUGAAUAAAUCUGAAGGUGCCUUCUCAGUGACUUGUUGGUACUUUGUGGUUUGUUCCUGCCCACGCAGUUUGUCCAUUAAGAGGUUCUUUCAGGUCUUACAACUUUCAUAACCAAAUGAAAGCUCUUCUAGAAAAGUUAUGGUUCUCUCUUCAGUCUGUUUCUUGUCAGUGUAAAGAACCAUGAAUUUGUUUAACCUAUUCUCAAAGACCAGUACAUAGGUAUAUAUGAGUUGGUAUAUAAAUAACCUAACUUCCCAAAAAAUGGCAAUGGCAAUCAUGAGAACCUGAGUUAAAUAAUUUAUACAGAUUGCUUUAAUGUAUAAUUUUUUAGGACUUUUAAUAAGUUAAACUCAUUUUGCUAAGUAGAGUCUGCAUGAUUUUUGUGUGUUUAAAACAGAAUGAAACUGGGCUGGGGUUGUGGCUCAGCAGUAGAGUGCUCACCUAGCACAUGUGAGGCACUGGGUUGCAUCCUCAGCACCACAUAAAAAUAAAUAAAUAAAAUAAAGGUAUUGUGUCUAACUACAACUAACGAAAAAUAUUUAAAAAAACCACAAUGAAGCCAUAUAUUUUUACAUGUUGGUAAUUUUUUAUUACUAAUCCUAAUAAUUACUAGUUAGUAGCCCCAUGAACAACAAACAUUUUCUUUCACAUCGUUAUAUUUUGAUAUUAAGUCUUUAAGUGAUUAAAUGCAGCUAUAUAAAAGGCCAUAGUGUAAACUCUUGUUCUAGAGUAUUGUCAAAGACAUUCUCCAGUAUGUUGAUUCUGAUUCUUGGAGUACAUUUCUCCUGUAGUUUAAUGCUUCGUAAAGCAAUGUGUUUUUCUUUUCUGUCUGAUGAGAAUGAUAUAAGCCAUUAUGCUUUCUCUUUUGCCUUGCAUGUAAGGCAACUCAAAUAACUGUAGUGCAAAAACAUGGUGAUUAUUUAGCUCUCAUGUUUAGUAUACUAGGGAUUUUCAUUCUUCCCUUUUCUGUUUAGCUUAUUUGGUAGUAAGGUCAUGGUUCUUGAGCCAUACCUUCUUCAUCUUAAAUAUAAGGAUAAUAUCUUCUGUUUGGAUUACUGUGAAAAUCAAAUGACAUGUCUUUUUGUAUGCUUAGCCAAGCAGCUAGUACAUUUUAGAGUGCUAAGUAAAUUCUAGAAGAUUUUUUCUCACUCCUCACCAAUAAUUUUAGCAUUUUGUUUAUGUUUUUACAAACUUAAUUUCUUGAUUUUGUUUAUAUUGAUGCAGCCUAGUCUUGUUUAAGUGAGUGAAAUAUAAAUUCUGAAAAGAAAGAUUAAAGAGCAGGUUAAGAGGAUUACCAUAGUAGAAGCAAGGCAGCCAUGAUUAGAGAUGACAAAGAAGUGAUAAACCUCUUGUAAACAAUGUUUUCAAAACUUAGGUUCCUAGAAGUUCUAACCUAUUUUGAUUUUCCUAAACCAUGUGUUUUAUUUUUUAAAGUGGAGUGAUAUUUUCUUUUGUAUUCAAAAUGACUGCCUAUUAUUGAAUCCCUUUUAGUCAGGUAAAAGACUAUCUUAUUAUUAAGUAGGCCACAAUGGUACUUUUUCUGGAGUCUGCCACAUAGGUAAUGACCAGAGGGCAAAUUAAAGGACAGAGAUAAGGUUGAGGCGCUUUGGCACUUUGUGGUUCAUUCCAAGCAAUGCCCAUGCUUGGUAAUGACAUACUUGGCAAAGACUAAAUCCUGAAUCUUUGGCAGUGUUUGAGUAUUGCUUUUAUUUUCUAUUUUGUAGUUGCAUUUUGGCUGUUGAAAUUAAAUUAAUGUUGGUGAUUCUCAACAUUCAAAAUCAGUGUAAAUGAAAGUUAAAUUGUAUGUUUCUGAUGUGCUUGCCAUUCUUACCUUCACAGAAAAAAGCUUGGCAGGACCACAAGCGGGAAUGCAAAUGCCUUAAAAGCUGCAAACCUAGAUAUCCUCCUGACUCUGUGCGACUUCUUGGUCGAGUUGUCUUCAAACUUGUGAGUGUUUACUUGUAAAAGACACUUGAGUUUUAAUUUACCAGAAGCUUUUGCAGUUGCAUUUAUUAUUCAUAUUUUAGGCUGAAAUUGAACCCAUGUUAAGGUACAGAGUAAAUUAUUGCAGGUAGUAGCUUAAGAUACUCCUAUUAGUCAAGGAAUUGUGGCAGUGAAGAAGUGCAGAGCCCUCUUUAAAAUCCCUAUGAUCUCCUGGGAAUAGAAGUGUGGGAUCCUAAAUUUGGGGUAUAAGCUGUUAGCAAUUAAUAUUUGUUAUGUUGCCUUUGUCAUUUUUCCUGCUGUGAGCUAAUGUACAGGACAUGUAUGUCCUUUUUGGUUGCCUUUUCUGGUGAGAUAUAAAUUAGAUGAUAAUUAAUAUAAAAUUGAAGGGUGCUUUUGUCUUUUUGUGUAGCUAGGAUUUAUUGAAAUAGUUUUUUCAGCCCCUUUUCAUACAGUGCCGGUUAGUAGAAUUUGUGAAAUCCUCUUCUAAAGAAGCCUUCUAGUUUCUUUGGCUAGGCUUUUGCAUGAAUAUCUUUCCCAAAUUACUAUAGGCUCCAGCUCUGUUCUUUCCUUUGUUUAUUGAUUUUUUUUUUGCCACUUUAAAAUUUAUAGAGCUUUGAGAAUGUAAAAAGAGGUUUGCAUUUGACGAUUAAACCGGUAGGUGAAGCUACAAGUUAGAUUUUCUUUUAAAGUUGUUCCAGGUUAAAUAAAUCAGCUGUAAAAAAAUGAUAAAGAACUUAUAUAUAAGAAAUAGCCUUUUGGUAGACUUUCAUUUAAAUAUGUAAAGGUAUUCAAACACAUUCCUUCAUGUAUUGGAGUGCUUCGGAUUAUUUUUGGUUUCCCCCCUUUCCUUCACAGAUGGAAGAAACUCCCUCAGAAUCUGAGAAACUUUACUCAUUUUAUGAUCUGGAAUCAAGUAAGUGAUUGCCUAUCAUCAUCUUAAAAAAAGAAAAAAAAAGUCUGUCAUUUGUUUGCUGAGUUGGUGAAGAUGGAUUGACUGAUUGUGGAUUGACUGAUUGUGAACCCAGGGCAUCACUCAUACUGAGCACAUGCUCUACCACUGACCUGCACCCCUCCCCAGCCCCCAAACUGCUUUAUUUUCAACUUUGUUUUUCUGUCUCCUUAUUAUGUGAAACAAACCUAACAAAAGUUUUUGUUUUUAUAAGUAACUGACUCAUUAGUUUAUUUAAUUUAUUUCAUGGCAGUUUGGGCCUUACAGAAGUUUAUGAAGUACUAUAAAGAUGUCUAGGGUGUUCAGGGUAGUGUAACCAUUUGUCCAGUUGACAAAAUUUUCCUUCUGUUUCUCCUUCCUUUUCCCCCUUCAUUCCUCUCUUGGUUUCCUCUUCUGUUUUUUCUUUUUCCUUUUCUUUUUCUGAUGACAGGAAAGAGAGAUAUAAUGAAUAUGAGGGUUUCAGGGAGCUUUUGGGAUCACUGUUGCUUUAGGUAGUAAAGUCAAAGGUAUAGAUGACUUAGGCUUUAUGACAGAGUGUUGUUCCUACCAUGUCAGUAGUCCAGCUACUUGGAAUGAAUGAUAGGCUUUCCAGAUCUGAGUGUCAAGCACAUGUAAGGUUUGUAUUGCUUUUUGUACUGGCACAGAUCCUGUUCAUUGAGUUUGUAAAAGACUUUAAUCUCAAACUGGCCAGAGCUCAGUGUGAAUUUGCUACACAAUUUAUUUAAUAUUUCUGGAUGGAGACAAAUAAAAGAUGAUUUAGUACACAUUUAUGCUUAUGGGAUACUAAGUGCUAAUAAAUUAUUAUUUAGGAAAUCAUUGGGUCAAUUAUUGUGUUGAACAAGUAAUAUAAAGAAAAUAUACAGGGCUGGGGAUGUGGCUCAAGCGGUAGCGCGCUCGCCUGGCAUGCGUGCGGCCCGGGUUCGAUCCUCAGCACCACAUACAAAAAAAAAGAUGUUGUGUCUGCCGAUAACUGGAAAAUUAAUAUUAAAAAAAAAGAAAAUAUACAGACCUGACAUGAGCAGCAAAGUAUCUUUUCAAAUUUUAAUAGAGAACUAAUUAGUCAUUUUUACUUGUAUUACUGCUAGGUAAUUAAAAUAUCUUACAGUGAAUUUCACUAUUAACAUUAGUGCUGUUCAGUAGUAAUGUCAUACACACUGCUUUAAGUGAAAUGCUCUCAAAUGUUAUUAAUUAAAGGUGCCUCUUAGAUUCAAUAUGCAAUUUGUGGUUUAUAUAUAGUUUUUUCUUUCACUGUAUGGAGAUAGAACCCAGGUCGACCCACCUCUGAGUUAAAUCCCUACCCCUUUUAUGCUUUUGUUUUUUGAGACACAGUCUCAUUAAAUUGCCAAAUCUGGCCUGUAAUUUGCAGACUUCCUGCCUCAGCCUCUUAAAUUGUUGGGAUUAUAGGUGUAUGUCACCAUGCUCAGCUAAGUUGACUUUUUAAAGGAAGUCAUAUUGACUUUAAAGCCAUCUGUUUCUUUCUUUUUUUUAAAAAAUUUAAUUAACAUAGCAUCUGUACAAAUGUAUGGGGUAUUAUACAACAAUUUAAUGCAUAUAUACAACAUGUAAUGAUAAAAUCAGGGCAAUUAGCUUUUGAGUGUUAAAAGUUUAUGUGUUAGGAACCUUUGAACAAUUUUUUCCUAAUUAUUGUGGAUUAUGUGAAAAAUUCUUGUGGGUUGAAUUUACCCUAUUAUACUAUAGAAAAAUAGUACUAAUUCCUUCUCACUAUAUUUUGGUACUUUUUUUUUUUUUUUGGUGGUGGGGGUGCUGGGGAUUGAACCCUGGGCCUUGUGCAUGUGAGGCAAGCACUCUACCAACUGAGCUACAUCCCUAACCCUUGGGUACCCAUUUUCUACCCUCUCAUUAUCCUUCCUCCCCUGCUCUUCCUAGUCUCUUCUUCUCUUUUCUUUAGAUUAAUUUUUUAUGUUUCCACAAAUGAGUGAGAACGUGUGACAUUUCUUUCUGUGCCUGGCUUAUUUCACUUAACAUGAUCUUAAGUUUCAUCUACAUUGCUUAAAAUGACAGUAUUUCAUUUUUUUAAAAAAAUUUUUUUAGUUGUUGAUGAACCUUUAUUAUUUAUUUAUUUAUAUGUGAUGCUGAGAAUCAAACCCAGUGCCAUACACAUGCUAGGCAAGCGCUCUACCACUGAGCCACAACCCCAGCUCCUGAUUAUUUUUAAUGACUGAAAAAUAUUCCAUUGUACCACAUCUUUUUCAUCCAUUGGAGGACACUCAGGUCAGUUGUAUGUCUUGGCUAUUGUGAAUGAUGCUGCAGUGAACAUGGAGUGCUGCUCUUUGAUAUAAUGGUUUUAUUUGGAUAUAUAUCCAGUAGUGGGAUUGCUAGAUCAUAAGGUGCUUUCUAUUUUUAAUUUUUUAGGAGCCUUCAUACUGUUUUCCAUAAGGCAGUACUAAUUUACAUGUCCACUAAUAGUGUAGGAGUUCCUCUUUCUCCACAUCUUUAUCAGCAUUUGUUAUUUUUUUUUCUCUUUGAUAAUAGCCAUUGUCACUGUGGAUAUUUUUCUUUUGUUUUUGUGCUAGUGGAGGAUGAACUCAGGGACGCUUUAUGACUGAGCUACAUCCUUAGUGAUUUUUAUUUUGUUAAAAUAAAAUAAAGUUAAGUUGCUGAGGCUGGCCUCAAACUUGGGAUCCUCCAGCCUCAGCCUCCCAGUUCUUUGGGAUUUUAGGCAUCUGCCACUGCAUAUGUGCAUAUGGCUUUCAAUGUGCUUUGGAUUUGUGUUUUCCUGAUGAGUAAUGAUGUUGAACUUUUUUUUUGUCGCUUGCAUGUCUUCUUUUGAGAAAUGCCUAUUCAGAUUCUAUGCCCCUUUUCAAUGUAGAUCAUUUUACUUUUUUUUUUUUUUUUUGCUGUUGGUUUUGAGUUCCUUAAGUAGGGUGAACGUUAAUCCCUUGUGAGUUGAAUACUUUGCACAUGUUUUCUCCUGAUCUAUAGGUUGUCUCUCUACUGCAUCCAUUGUUUCUUUGUGCAGGAGCCUGCUAGGCUGUUGGUGAUCCUAUUUGCUGAUUUUUGCUUUUGUUGCCUAUGCUUUUGGGGUCAUAUCCAAAAAACUUUGCCUAGAUCAAUAUCCUGAAACUUUUCCUUUAUGUUUUUUUUUUCUUUUUCCUAGUAGGUCCAUAGUUUGGGGUCUUACAUUUAAGUCUGAUCUAUUUUGAGUUGAUUUUUGAAUAUGGUGAGAGGUAUGGAUGUAGUUUCAUUCUUCUGCACAUGGUAUUUCGAGUUUUCGGGUACUGUUUAUUAAAGAGACUGCUUUUUUCCCAAUGUAUGUCGUUGUCACCUUUGGUGAAAAUCACUUGAUUGUAUAUUAUGUAGAUUCAUUUCUGUUGCAUUGGUUUCUGGGUCUGUGGUUACUUUAGUUUUGUAGUUUUUUGAAGUCAGAUAUCGUGGUGCUUCCAUCUUUUUUCUUUUUGCUCAGAAUUUCUUUGGCAAUUCAGUUUUUCAUGGUUCCAUGUGAAUUUUGUGAUUAUUUUUCCUAUUUCUGUGAAGAAUCUCAUUGUUAAUUUGAUGGGAAUUACAUUGAAUCUUUAGAUCACUUUGGGUAGUUGGACAUUUUAGCAGUAUUCAUUCUUUGAAUUUAUGAACAUGGGAAGUAUUUUCCUAUUCUGUGUCCCCUUCAGUUUCUUUUGUCUUAUACUUUUCACUGUAGAAGUCUUUCAUUUCCUUGGUUGAAUUUCAUCCUAGCUAUUUUAUUUAUGGUGUAGCUAUUGUCCUUUUUUAGCAAUUUUGUUAUUGGUGUAUAAAAAAAUUUUACUGAUUUUUAUAUAUUGUUUUUGUAUCUAUAACUUUAACCAAAUCUGUUUUAUCAGUUUUAACAUUUUUUUUUUUUUUUGGUGUGGCAUUUCUCUUCAAGUCAGACAGUUGUUAAAGUAGCUCUAUGUUUAUGUAUUCAAUCUGAAAAUGAAAUUGAGAUUUCUUUGUUUAAUAUGUUUUCGUGAUGAAUGUUCCAUAUAACAAAUUUCAUUUAUUUGAAUUUUGUCAGAAUUUAUUCUCCUUUCAGUCUUCUUGUCUUUCAGAUUAUAAUGUUUAUCAGUUUGUGAUGACCUAGUUGUAAAUUUUUCAUGGUAAAAUCUGUUUAAAUCCAUUGACUUAAUAAAGAUUUAUGACGGUUUGUGUAUGUAUACAUGUUGAUGUAGAAAAUCUGGUGAUGCAAAACCUUAGUGAUUUUAGUUUUUAAUCUUUUUCGUUGGUAUAUGCAUUUAUUAUGUUCUUAAUAGGUAUUUGAUCUUACAUUGUAGAUAAAAUUUGGUAGAUUUAAUUGAUUAUAUAUGUAUUAUGAUUUGUGGUUGUCAAAUAAAAAGAUGUUAGAAUGGAAGGUGAGAUGGGAAAUAUCUGGUUUAGCAGCCAGCAUUGAAUACCUGAAAAUUAUCCAUUGUUUACUUUGUGAUUUUGCUGUUUAUUUUUUUUGUUAAAGAUAUUAGCAAACUUACUGAAGAUAAGAAAGAGGGCCUCAGGCAACUUACAAUGACAUUUCAACAUUUCAUGAGAGAAGAAAUACAGGAUGCUUCUCAGCUGCCAGCUUCUU